rnacentral:rRNA from 1 species
GAUGAACGCUGGCGGCGUGCCUAAUACAUGCCAGUCGAGCGAACAGACGAGGAGCUUGCUCCUCUGACGUUAGCGGUGGACGGGUGAGUAACACGUGGAUAACCUACCUAUAAGACUGGGAUAACUUCGGGAAACCGGAGCUAAUACCGGAUAACAUGUUGAACCGCAUGGUUCAACAGUGAAAGACGGUCUUGCUGUCACUUAUAGAUGGAUCCGCGCCGCAUUAGCUAGUUGGUAAGGUAACGGCUUACCAAGGCAACGAUGCGUAGCCGACCUGAGAGGGUGAUCGGCCACACUGGAACUGGGACACGGUCCAGACUCCUACGGGAGGCAGCAGUAGGGAAUCUUCCGCAAUGGGCGAAAGCCUGACGGAGCAACGCCGCGUGAGUGAAGAAGGUCUUCGGUUCGUAAAACUCUGUUAUUAGGGAAGAACAAAUGUGUAAGUAACUAUGCACGUCUUGACGGUACCUAAUCAGAAAGCCACGGCUAACUACGU